CUAUGACAAUUGAGAUGUAUGCCAUUUAAAAUUAGGUAUACUGAGAAUCUUAUGCAAUGUUUUACUUGUUUACUCCCAUUUGCAGGUUAACUGUUUGGAUGAUUGUAGUGUUGAUAUAUUUGAUGAUCAAUCGGUUAUUACAUUAUUAAAGGUAAUUGCCGGUCAAAAUCAUGUUUACAACGAUAAUGUUCUUUGAUAUUUAAUAUUACAAGCUUAAUAUGAUGCUUAUAAAUUAAUUCAGAUAAAGGAGAUAAUAGUGUGAAGGAUUUCUAGCAGGAAAUGAGGUUGCUUGUUCACAUGGGAUUGCUGAAACAAAAAAAUAUGUUAAGAAAUUUGAGUUGAAUAUCUUGUAUUAUAUGAAGAUCAAAUAACUACCGGAAGAACCAAUGAAGUUACAAUUAUGUAACAAAAAAAUAUGUUAAGAAAUUUCAGUGGAAGCUUGUGAUUAUUUUGCUUUAA